rnacentral:rRNA from 1 species
GACGAACGCUGGCGGCGUGCCUAACACAUGCAAGUCGAGCGAUGCAACUGUAACAGAACCCUUCGGGGUGAGUAAAAAGUGGAUUAGCGCCGGACGGGUGAGAAACACGCCCGUAACCGGCCUUAGACAUCGGGAUAUCCCUGGGAAACAGGGAUUAAUCCCAAAUGAAAUCAUACUGAUUCAUGUCAUAACGAUCAAAACUCCGGUGCUCUAAGAUGGACUCGCGUCCCAUUAGCUAGUUGGUAGAGUAAAAGCCUACCAAGGCGACGAUGGGUAGCCGGCCUGAGAGGAUGAACGGCCACAUUGGAACUGAGAAACGGUCCAAACUCCUACGGGAGGCAGCAGUGGGGAAUAUUGGACAAUGGAGGGAACUCUGAUCCAGCGACGCCGCGUGAACGAAGAAGGCUUUCGAGUCGUAAAGCUCUUUUAUAUGGGAUGAUAAUGACGGUACCAUAAGAAAAAGCCCCGGCUAACUACGUG